rnacentral:rRNA from 1 species
GUCCACGCCGUAAACGAUGGAUACUAGCUGUUGGGGGCAACUUCAGUGGCUAAGCGAAAGUGAUAAGUAUCCCACCUGGGGAGUACGUUCGCAAGAAUGAAACUCAAAGGAAUUGACGGGGGCCCGCACAAGCGGUGGAGCAUGUGGUUUAAUUCGAUGAUACGCGAGGAACCUUACCAAGGCUUAAAUGUAGAUUGACAGAUUUGGAAACAGAUUUUUCUUCGGACAAUUUACAAGGUGCUGCAUGGUUGUCGU